AGUUCGGAACUAGGAGACGUUGGUCGGGCGUAUGCUCUGUACCAGCUUUCCUGUUCUCCCUAUGGGAUACUCACCUUUACUCUUAACUGGGCGAAGGUAAAAGCAUUGUAUGGUUGGGGCAACCUGGUCAUGCAGUGUGGAGUUCCCAUUCGUUUACUUUGAAUAAAUUAGGGUGUUCAAAGCAGGCAAAUAAAGAGCCUUGAAUACUACAGCAUGGGAUAACGGAAUACGACUUCGGUUCAUAUUUCGUUGGUUUCUGGAGCCGAAGUAAUGAUUAAAAGGGAUAGUUGGGGGCAUUAGUAUUUAAUUGUCAGAGGUGAAAUUCUUGGAUUUAUGAAAGACUAACUUCUGCGAAAGCAUUUGCCAAGGAUGUUUUCAUUAAUCAAGAACGAAAGUUAGGGGAUCGAAGACGAUCAGAUACCGUCGUAGUCUUAACCAUAAACUAUGCCGACCAGCGAUUGGGAGACGUUAUUUGUAUGACUCCCCCAGCAGCUUGCGAGAAAUCACAAGUCUUUGGGUUCUGGGGGGAGUAUGGUCGCAAGGCUGAAACUUAAAGGAAUUGACGGAAGGGCACCACCAGGAGUGGAGCCUGCGGCUUAAUUUGACCCAACACGGGGAAACUUACCAGGUCCAGACAUAGUAAGGAUUGACAGAUUUGAGAGCUCUUUCUUGAUUCUAUGGGUGGUGGUGCAUGGCCGUUCUUAGUUGGUGGAGUGAUUUGUCUGGUUAAUUCCGUUAACGAACGAGACCUUAACCUGCUAAAUAGUAACCGAAAGACUUCUAAAAAAACACGUUGGUGGCUAGGGUGAAGUUUCGAUGGAGCCUGACCCAUUAGCGUGUGGAUGACUUCCGGGAAUACUUCUUAGAGGGACUAUUUGUAUUAAAGCAAAUGGAAGUUUGAGGCAAUAACAGGUCUGUGAUGCCCUUAGAUGUCUUGGGCCGCACGCGCGCUACACUGAUAAGUUCAACGAGUUCUUCCACCUUGUUCGAUAGAACCGGGUAAUCUUCGAAAAACUUAUCGUGAUGGGGAUAGAUCAUUGUAAUUAUUGGUCUUCAACGAGGAAUUCCUAGUAAGCGCGAGUCAUCAGCUCGCGUUGAUUACGUCCCUGCCCUUUGUACACACCGCCCGUCGCUCCUACCGAUUGAAUGGUCCGGUGAAUUGUCCGGAGUAUGGUCAUGUUGGGGGCAACUUCAACAGAUCGUGCGAAGUUCAAU
rnacentral:rRNA from 1 species